UCCUGCGCCCCCGUGGAAGGACGGUGGGGGGACGACGGCGUAGGUCCAGGGGAGCUGAGAGUGCGUCUGUGUUUCCCCGGAGACGCGCUCGGCCCGGGGGCGGGUGGCGGCGUCAGUCCCGGGGAGGACCGGCAGGGGGCGGUCGAGGCUGAGGACUGCGCAGGACCGCCCGGGCGGGACGUGCCGUGUGUACUGCGGGACUUGCAUAAUACCACUCUCCAAGUCAGGGUGCCUUCCAGGAAAUCCUGAGCGAGUUGCUCAUUCAAGUUUUUCCAUGUUUGACGUUGGUGACUUAAUCAAAGAAUCAAAGGAUGUCAGGGGCCUGGAUUGCUGUUAUCUUCUUUCAAAGGCUCUCCUUCAACGGAUAAAAAAUUAAGGCUCAGAGCAGCUCUGGGUCUAACUAGCUAGUUAGUGGCAGAGCUGACGCUGUAACUGAGGUCUACUAACUGCCUGCCCUAGCUCUGAAAAAAAAAAAAAAAUCCAUGUGGCCACUGCCAGCUUCUAUUUACAAGAUAAAUUUCUAACGCUGAAAGAACAUUCUCUCCUCUCCCGGUCCCUUCUGAGUUCGCAUUUCUGUGGCUUAAGCUGCAAGUGGUGAAGCUUAUUUCGGGAACAGAAGCGCAAAUUUAAAAUACAAUAGAAUUAUGAAUAGAUUGCAAUAUUUGACUAUUUUAUAACAACCAUAGACUCUGAUGGUAAAAACAGUUAAAACCUAAGCCUUUCUUUCUUUUCUUUUCUUUCCUUUCUUUCUUUUCUUUUCUUUCUCUCCUUCCUUCCUUCCCUUUCUUUCUCUCCUUCCUUUCUCUCCUUCCUUCCUUUCUCUUCUUCUCUCCUUUUCUUUCUCUCUUUCUUUUCUUUCUCUCCUUCCUUCUUUCCUUCCUUUCUUUCUCUCUUUCCUUCCUUUCUCUCCUUUUCUCCUUUUCUUUCUUUCUCUCCUUCCUUCCUUCCUUUCUCUCCUUCUCUCUCUCUCUCUCUUUCUUUCUUUCUUUCUUU
rnacentral:lncRNA from 1 species